rnacentral:tRNA from 1 species
UUCCUGGUGGUCUAGUGGCUAAGACUCUGGCUCCCAAUGCAAGGAGGCCCAAGUUUGAUCCCUGGUCAGGAAA